rnacentral:rRNA from 1 species
GACGAACGCUGGCGGCGUGCUUAACACAUGCAAGUCGAACGGAAAGGCCCUGCUUGCGGGGUACUCGAGUGGCGAACGGGUGAGUAACACGUGGGUGAUCUGCCCUGCACUUCGGGAUAAGCCUGGGAAACUGGGUCUAAUACCGGAUAUGACCUUCCAUGUAGUGUGGGGGGUGGAAAGAUUUAUCGGUGUGGGAUGAGCCCGCGGCCUAUCAGCUUGUUGGUGGGGUAAUGGCCUACCAAGGCGUCGACGGGUAGCCGGCCUGAGAGGGUGGACGGCCACAUUGGGACUGAGAUACGGCCCAGACUCCUACGGGAGGCAGCAGUGGGGAAUAUUGCACAAUGGGCGGAAGCCUGAUGCAGCGACGCCGCGUGGGGGAUGACGGCCUUCGGGUUGUAAACCUCUUUCGACAGGGACGAAGCUUCGGUGACGGUACCUGGAUAAGAAGCACCGGCUAACUACGUG